rnacentral:sRNA from 1 species
UUCAGCCAGCUCAAACCUAGAAAAACAGAAACCACCUCCUCUACACUCACCAACUUCUCCAUUGAAGAAAUACCCCAGGCAGGGCCGGACCCUGGUGUUCCUGAUCCUCCUCGGUGCCUCACGGCCCCAGCCCGGCGAACAUCCGAACAGCCGAGAAGGCAGGAGGUGGCGAUCCCGGCCGCCGGGCAGCCUUGGGGCAGAGGUGCAGGGAGGCAGGGAGGAAGUCCUGGCUCGGGUGGGGGGGCAGUCCCGGUCCAGGGCUCGGAGCAGGGGGCUGCCGCGCUCCGGGCCGGAGGCUUCCAGCUACGGAGGGACCCAGCAGGUCUCGGGACGGCGAGGUCCCAGGUCAUACGGGGCCCGAAGUGCCAGCCGUGGGGUCUCCGGACAGGGGGCUUUCGGGAUGCACUUUGCACUGGGCCACCCCCGCCCCCUCCCUUCAGCACUUUGGGGUCACUGGGAUGGGACCAAGCCUUCAACAACCAAUCAGCGCCCGCAGUGGAGCCUGAGCCUGGAGCCGUAAACCAGGUUUCACUGAAGAAACGUCUUAGAGAUUCAUUGCACUUCUGAGAUUU